rnacentral:misc_RNA from 1 species
GAUGAAGAACGUAGCGAAAUGCGAUAAGUAAUGUGAAUUGCAGAAUUCAGUGAAUCAUCGAAUCUUUGAACGCAUCUUGCGCUCCUUGGUAUUCCGAGGAGCAUGCCUGUUUGAGUGUCAUUUAACUUCUCAACCACAUUGGAUAUUUUUUUUCCGAUGCCGGCUUGGAUGUGGGGGUUGUUUGCAGGCUUUUUGUAACAAAAAAGGUCGGCUCCCCUGAAAUGUAUUAGUGGUAUCUGAUGCUAUUACUAUUAGGUGUGAUAAUUAUCUAUGCCUUUUGGGUAUGCCGCAUGAACAGAUUAUGCUGCUUCUAACGAAAACUAUUUUGAUGAAUUUGACCUCAAAUCAGGUAGGACUACCCGCUGAACUUAAGCAUAUCAAUAAGCGGAGGA